CUUGAACGCUGGCGGCAGGCCUAACACAUGCAAGUCGAGCGAGCGGCGGACGGGUGAGUAAUGUAUGGGGACUGCCCGAUAGAGGGGGAUACCUCCUGGAAACGGUGGUUAAUACGGCAUACGGUCGGAUAACCCAUAUGGGAUUAGCUAGUAGGUAAGGUAAUGGCUUACCUGGGCGACGAUCCCUAGCUGGUCUGAGAGGAUGAUCAGCCACACUGGGACUGAGACACGGCCCAGACUCCUACGGAGGCAGCAGUGGGGAAUAUUGCACAAUGGGCGCAAGCCUGAUGCAGCCAUGCCGCGUGUAUGAAGAAGGCCCUAGGGUUGUAAAGUACUUUCAGUCGGGAGGCGUUACCGACAGAAGAAGCACCGGCUAACUCCGUGCCAGCCGCCGCGGUAAUUC
rnacentral:rRNA from 1 species